UACGAAGGGGGCUAGCGUUGCUCGGAAUUACUGGGCGUAAAGGGCGCGUAGGCGGAUGUCUAAGUUGGGGGUGAAAGCCCGGGGCUCAACCUCGGAAUAGCCUUCAAUACUGGAUAUCUUGAGUUCGGGAGAGGUGAGUGGAAUGCCGAGUGUAGAGGUGAAAUUCGUAGAUAUCGUCAGGAAUGCCGGUGGUGAAGACGGGUGACUGGGCUGGUUCUGACACUGAGGCACGAAAGCGUGGGGAGCGAACGGG
rnacentral:rRNA from 1 species